rnacentral:rRNA from 1 species
GAUGAACGCUGGCGGCGUGCCUAAUACAUGCAAGUCGAGCGAACAGAUAAGGAGCUUGCUCCUUUGACGUUAGCAGCGGACGGGUGAGUAACACGUGGGUAACCUACCUAUAAGACUGGAAUAACUCCGGGAAACCGGGGCUAAUGCCGGAUAACAUUUAGAACCGCAUGGUUCUAAAGUGAAAGAUGGUUUUGCUAUCACUUAUAGAUGGACCCGCGCCGUAUUAGCUAGCUGGUAAGGUAACGGCUUACCAAGGCAACGAUACGUAGCCGACCUGAGAGGGUGAUCGGCCACACUGGAACUGAGACACGGUCCAGACUCCUACGGGAGGCAGCAGUAGGGAAUCUUCCGCAAUGGGCGAAAGCCUGACGGAGCAACGCCGCGUGAGUGAUGAAGGUCUUCGGAUCGUAAAACUCUGUUAUUAGGGAAGAACAAAUGUGUAAGUAACUGUGCACGUCUUGACGGUACCUAAUCAGAAAGCCACGGCUAACUACGUG